GAGCUGCAGACCAAGUGUCUGGCGAGAUCUGGCCAAUCAGAGCGUUGCCGCGGGUUACCACGGCAACGCUCUGACCGGGUCUCGCGAGACUCUUGGUCUGCAGCUCUGCACACUGCGCGGAGCUGCAGACCAGAAAGCACCACCGGACCACCAGGGAAAGAAGAAGCCACCGGACCACCAGGGAAAGAAGAAGCCACCGGACCACCAGGGAAAGAAGAAGCCACCGGACCACCAGGGAAAGAAGAAGCCACUGGACCACCAGGGAAAGCAGGUAUUUAGUACCCCCCUCCAUUAUACCCCCCUCC